rnacentral:rRNA from 1 species
UACGUAGGGGGCAAGCGUUGUCCGGAUUUAUUGGGCGUAAAGAGCGUGUAGGCGGCUAGGUAGGUCCGUUGUGAAAACUCGAGGCUCAACCUCGAGACGUCGAUGGAAACCAUCUAGCUAGAGUCCGGAAGAGGAGAGUGGAAUUCCUGGUGUAGCGGUGAAAUGCGCAGAUAUCAGGAAGAACACCCGUGGCGAAGGCGACUCUCUGGUACGUGACUGACGCUGAGACGCGAAAGCGUGGGGGAGCAAACAGG